rnacentral:rRNA from 1 species
UACGAGAGGCGCAAACGUUAUUCGGAAUUACUGGGCUUAAAGGGUGCGUAGGCGGUGCGGUAAGUGAGGUGUGAAAGCCCUCGGCUCAACCGAGGAAUUGCGCUUCAUACUGCCGUGCUGGAGGGAGACAGAGGUAAGCGGAACUGAUGGUGGAGCGGUGAAAUGCGUUGAUAUCAUCAGGAACACCGGUGGCGAAAGCGGCUUACUGGGUCUCUUCUGACGCUGAGGCACGAAAGCUAGGGUAGCGAACGGG